AGCGAACGCUGGCGGCAGGCCUAACACAUGCAAGUCGAACGAACCUUUCGGGGUUAGUGGCGGACGGGUGAGUAACACGUGGGAACGUGCCUUUAGGUUCGGAAUAACUCAGGGAAACUUGUGCUAAUACCGAAUGUGCCCUUCGGGGGAAAGAUUUAUCGCCUUUAGAGCGGCCCGCGUCUGAUUAGCUAGUUGGUUGAGGUAAUGGCUCACCAAGGCGACGCUCAGUAGCUGGUCUGAGAGGAUGAUCAGCCACAGUGGGACUGAGACACGGCCCAAACUCCUACGGGAGGCAGCAGUGGGGAAUCUUGCGCAAGGGGCGAAAGCCUGACGCAGCCAUGCCGCGUGAAUGAUGAAGGUCUUAGGAUUGUAAAAUUCUUUCACCGGGGACGAUAAUGACGGUACCCGGAGAAGAAGCCCCGGCUAACUUCGUG
rnacentral:rRNA from 1 species